rnacentral:rRNA from 1 species
AUUGAACGCUGGCGGCAGGCCUAACACAUGCAAGUCGAACGAGUGGCGGACGGGUGAGUAAUGUAUGGGGAACUGCCCGAUGGAGGGGGAUAACUACUGGAAACGGUAGCUAAUACCGCAUACCAUCGGAUGUGCCCAGAUGGGAUUAGCUAGUAGGUGGGGUAAAGGCUCACCUAGGCGACGAUCCCUAGCUGGUCUGAGAGGAUGACCAGCCACACUGGAACUGAGACACGGUCCAGACUCCUACGGGAGGCAGAAGUGGGGAAUAUGGCACAAUGGGCGCAAGCCUGAUGCAGCCAUGCCGCGUGUAUGAAGAAGGUCUUCGGGUUGUAAAGUACUUUCAGUGGGGAGGCGUUACCCACAGAAUAAGCACCGGCUAACUCCGUGCCAGCCGCCGCGGUAAUAC